rnacentral:hammerhead_ribozyme from 1 species
AGCUGGCAGAAGAGUCCCAAAUAGGACGAAAUGCUCAUCCUGGCU